rnacentral:rRNA from 1 species
UACGGGGGAUGCAAGCGUUAUCCGGAAUCAUUGGGCGUAAAGCGCCUGUAGGUUGUUUACUAAGUCCGUUGUUAAAGACUAGGGCUUAACCCUAGAAAAGCAAUGGAAACUAUUAGACUAGAGUAUGGCAGGGGUAGAGGGAAUUUCUAGUGUAGCGGUGAAAUGCGUAGAUAUUAGAAAGAACACCGGUGGCGAAAGCGCUCUACUGGACCAUUACUGACACUCAGAGGCGAAAGCUAAGGUAGCAAAAGGGAUUAGAUACCCCUGUAGUCUUAGCUGUAAACGAUGGAUACUAGAUGUUGUGCAAUAUGUACAGUAUCGUAGCUAACGCGUUAAGUAUCCCGCCUGGGGAGUACGCUCGCAAGGGUG